UACGUAGGGGGCAAGCGUUGUCCGGAAUUAUUGGGCGUAAAGAGCACGCAGGCGGUUUGGCAAGUCGGAUGUGAAAACCCGAAGCUCAACUUCGGGCCUGCAUCCGAAACUGCCCGACUAGAGGUAGGUAGGGGAGAUCGGAAUUCCUGGUGUAGCGGUGAAAUGCGCAGAUAUCAGGAGGAACACCGGUGGCGAAGGCGGAUCUCUGGGCCUUACCUGACGCUCAGGUGCGAAAGCUAGGGGAGCGAACAGG
rnacentral:rRNA from 1 species